GGUAGAGUAAGGUAGUGGUUAGCAUGUUCGCCUCACACCUCCAGGGUCGGGGGUUCGAUUCCCACCGUCGCCC